UUUUGAAGCUAGUUAUGCGCCUUUAAAAUUGGAGGUGAGAGAGUGAGAGACACCAGAGAAAGAGACAGUCGUGUUCUCUGCGGUCUCUCACUCUCUCACCUCCCAACUUUCAAGGCGCAGAACUCGCUUCGAAA
rnacentral:sRNA from 13 species